rnacentral:rRNA from 1 species
GCUGCAGGAAUUCCCAAUACUAUCGGUACGGGUUGUGGGAGCAAGAGCCCGGAGAUGGAUUCUGAGACACGAAUCCAGGCCCUACGGGGCGCAGCAGGCGCGAAAACUUUACAAUGCAGGCAACUGUGAUAAGGGAACCCCGAGUGCCCGUAUGGACGGGCUGUUCAGGUGCUUAAAAACCACCUGGAGAAAGGGCCGGGCAAGACCGGUGCCAGCCGCCGCGGUAAUACCGGCGGCUCGAGUGGUGGCCACUAUUACUGGGCUUAAAGCGUCCGUAGCUUGGUCGUUAAGCCUCUGGGGAAAUCUUCCGGCUUAACCGGAAGGCGUCUCAGGGGAACUGGCGACCUAGGGAUCGGGAGAGGUGAGAGGUACUCUGGGGGUAGGAGUGAAAUCCUGUAAUCCUCAGGGGACCACCUGUGGCGAAGGCGUCUCACCAGAACGACUCCGACAGUGAGGGACGAAAGCUGGGGGAGCAAACCGGAUUAGAUACCCGGGUAGUCCCAGCCGUAAA